CAGCAGCCGCGGUAAUACGUAUGGUGCAAGCGUUAUCCGGAUUUACUGGGUGUAAAGGGAGCGCAGGCGGUGCGGCAAGUCUGAUGUGAAAGCCCGGGGCUCAACCCCGGUACUGCAUUGGAAACUGUCGUACUAGAGUGUCGGAGGGGUAAGCGGAAUUCCUAGUGUAGCGGUGAAAUGCGUAGAUAUUAGGAGGAACACCAGUGGCGAAGGCGGCUUACUGGACGAUAACUGACGCUGAGGCUCGAAAGCGUGGGGAGCA
rnacentral:rRNA from 1 species